rnacentral:rRNA from 1 species
UACGUAGGUGGCGAGCGUUGUCCGGAUUUACCGGGCGUAAAGAGCGCGCAGGCGGUCGUUCAAGUCGCGUGUGAAAGCCCCCGGCUCAACUGGGGAGGGUCACGCGAUACUGAUCGACUCGAAGGCAGGAGAGGGAAGUGGAAUUCCCGGUGUAGUGGUGAAAUGCGUAGAUAUCAUGAGGAAUACCAGAGGCGAAGGCGGCUACCUGGACAAUUGCUGACGCUCAGGCACGAAAGCGUGGGGAGCAAAAGGG